rnacentral:rRNA from 1 species
CGGGGGGGGCAAGCGUUGUUCGGAAUUACUGGGCGUAAAGGGCGCGUAGGCGGUCCGCUAAGUUGGAUGUGAAAACUCUGGGCUUAACCCAGAGCCUGCAUUCAAAACUGACGGGCUAGAGUUCUGGAGGGGGUAGCGGAAUUCCUGGUGUAGCGGUGAAAUGCGUAGAUAUCAGGAGGAACACCGGUGGCGAAGGCGGCUACCUGGACAGAAACUGACGCUGAGUGCGCGAAAGCUAGGGGAGCAAACAGGAUUAGAUACCCUGGUAGUCCUAGCCCUAAACGAUGGAUACUUGGUGUGACUGGGAUUGAAUCCAGUCGUGCCGAAGCUAACGCAUUAAGUAUCCCGCCUGGGGAGUACGGUCGCAAGGCUG